rnacentral:lncRNA from 10 species
CAGAAAAGAUAUCCGGAUGUUCUAUUAAGAUUAUUUUUCCAGCAUGACAGUGGAACAUCUAGCAUUUUACCCUCAUUAACUAUGAGACCAUCAAUCAGUCCAGGCAUCAAUUAAUCAAUUCAGUGGAUUAUUAAUACAACUUCCAACAGCUCAAGCUACUGUGUUAAGUCCUGAAUCCCAGGGGUAAGCCAGCUACCAUACUGUGAAAACACUCAAGCAGCAUCACUGAAGGACCUGCAUGGAGAGAAAUUGAGGUCUCCACUCAACUAGCAAGUACCAUAUUCCCAGCCAUGCAUAUGAGUUACAUUGGAAGUGAAUCAGCAGCUCCCUUCCAGCCUUCAGAUGACUAUAGCAGCAGUUGACAUUAAACAACAAUCUCACAAGACACACCCAGCUGUCACAUAUAUGAGAUGGAGGCAAUAAUACCAAUCCUACCUCCUAUCAGGGUGAGUGAAUGGCUUAAGUGAGAGGGCAGAUGAUAAACUUCUGGGAGCAGCUCUGAUACAGAAGAGAAAGCAUGGAUCUAAGUAAUGGUACUCUUCCUAAAUUUGAGGUCUGAUUCCACUUUUUACAAGAGAAAAGAAGCACCUGCUGAUUUUCUGCUUUAUCAAGAAACACCUGCUGCUUUAUCAAGAGUGAGUAGAGAUCUAGCCUUCCCACUGGACUUUGCCCUGUAAGUCCUUCUGGAGUGGUACAGAAAAGCUUCAGAAGCUUUUUCCAAGAGGAAUCUUGUGCGACUCUGGCUAUAAACAAUGCUCCUCUGGACCCAGGUACCAAUGGGAAACACACAGUAGGAGACAUAAUUUAUCUUCCCAUUUGUGCUCCAACACCCUGAGGAAGGACUGCACCUACAGUUUUGCAGUUAUAGCAGCCUGAGCAUUGUGCUAGAGAAAGACAUGUUCUUCCCAGAGCGACAGUGGUAGCUGGCCCAGCAGAGCACCAGUGGAGACAGCAAAGACACGGUGCAGCCUGGUAAAAGAACAUUGGCUUGAAGCAUGUCCAUCCUCAACACUGAGACAUAUUGAACCCGUAAGAAUGCUUAAGGAGAAAUUCUCAGGGACACCAGUUCCUACACUUAUGAUGGUGAGAGGUAAAGAAAAAUGUGAAAUUUGGGUGCAAAUGCUAAUAUUAGUGUAUCUGUGCCUUAGAGUGGUGGUCUUUGGGAUUCUUCAGGCUCUUUAUUUAGUAGCUUUAAUGCUAGCUUGAAUUUCCUACUCUUACUUUUUUGACCUCAUUUUUUUUACAUUAAAACAUUUAAUAUUGUGACAUUAUUAUACACUUUUUUCUUAAGCGAAAUUAAAUAUUUUCUUAGAAUAAGAUAGUACUAAAUAAAUGAUUAAGUGAUUGAUAUUUUACAGUAGAAGCUCAAAUGAGCAAUAAACAUGUAAUGCAAAAGAAGUUUGUGGUAGACCAAGUGAUAACCACCCAAAGAUGUCCACUUCCUGCUUGCCUGUAUCUAUGAAUAUGUUAUCUUACAUGGCAAAAGGGACCCUACAGAUGUGAUUAAGUUAAGGAUCAUAAAAUGGAAGAUUAUCCUGGAUUUAUUGGGUAGGACCAAUAUAAUCACAAUGGUGCUUAUAAGACAGAAGGUGGAAACAAAUGAGUCAUGGAAGGAGAUAUGACGAUGGAAGCAGAAAUCAGAGAAAUGCAGCCACUAGCCAAGAGAUGCAGGCAGGCCCUAGACAUUGGAAGAGGCAUUGAACAGAUUCUCUCCUAAUAGCCUCUAAAAAGAAUGCAACUCUGCAGAACCUCUGAUGAUUUUCGUGCUGUAAGAGCUAUUCUGAACUUCUGAUUUCCAGAACUGUUAAAACCUUAAAUGUACAUUAUUAUAUAAUAGUACAUUUGUGGAAAUUUGUUACAGCAUCAGCAGGAGUAUAGUACAAGACUUUAAUGAGAUACACUUUACUCCUAUCAAAUUGCUUUUUUUUCCCCCUAGGUAACACUAAAUGUUUAGUAAAGUUUAGUAAAAAUAGAACUAAUAUCCACCACUGAUAAAGUAUAAGCUGAAAUAUUUUCAGAAAGUAAGCAGCAUAGACAAAGGUCUAAAUCCUUAAAGUAAUUUUAAUACUUUGACCAGGUAACUAAAUUUCAGGAAUUUAAGAUGAGAAAAUAAUUAGAUAUGUGUAUAAAUACCUUUACACAGUGCUGUGCAUUCAAACAUUACAUAUGCUGAAACUAGAUUCACUUAAAUGGUUUGGAUAAACUUUACUGUAUCCAUGCAAAGAAAUAUAUUACACAGUUGUCAACUGCAUUAAAUGCCAAAGUAAAGAGUCAGACACCUAAGUUAUUGUAUAUUAUAGCUCUAAUGUUAUAAAAUAUAACUAUAAAUCAAUAUUUGUGAAAGAAAAAUAUUAAUAUGAAAUAUACUAAUAUAACUCAUUUUUGAAUGAGAUGUGUGAUGUGUCUUUUUGCCUUUACAUCGUCCUGAUAUUUUUUCAUUUUUUCAUGAAGGGUUAGUACAUUACUUCCAUAAUCAUAAAAAGUAAAUAUGAAAUGUAUAUUUAACAUGUUAUUAUGAGGAAACUCAAUAAAUAAAGCAUAUCAUCACUGUUAUGCUGGAAACGAAUGCUGUAAGCCCAGAAUCCUCACAGUAAGAUAGCAUCAUUCUGUUAACUGAUAGUUGGAAAGCUAUUGGCUGGUAUGUCUGUCAAUUCAAUUGUUAAUCUGUAUUCUGUAUAUUUUUUAAUAUUAAAAAUCAUUUUAAAAUGUAAACUCCAUUAUUGUUAUAAUUUUAAAAAUUAACUAAGGUGCCAGGAGUUGUGAAUCAUCACCACAGGGUUAACAAUAAGAAGUUAUAUGACUUUCAACUCUUUCCUUUAACCUUCUGGAAUACAAUUUUCUCACCUAAAAAACAAAGAUGUUUCAUUAGAUGAUUAGUCGAUUAAUUUAUGGUUUUCCAAUUGUGACUCUUGUAAGGAUCUAAAAUAUUUAUGCCGCACACCUCUUCUGAGAAGAAACUGUCGUUGCUCCAAUAUUCCUGCCUACAUCUAACAAUAUUCCCCGUAAAUUACUCUGUAAUCCUUUUUCACUCCUUACAUGCCUUCAUGUCUCUUCUAGUAGAUUAGAUAACGAUGUAUGUUCCACUCUGAGCAGGUAUAUUCAGACCUACCUAUAAAGGUCAAGGGAGCUGAGAGGCCAAAGAAAGGGACUGACAAAUCCAGUUUCUCAGAAAGAAACUGUCAGGCCUCUGAGCCCAAGCCAACCAUCCCAGC